GAUCCUGGCUCAGGAUGAACGCUAGCUACAGGCUUAACACAUGCAAGUCGAGGGGCAGCAUGGUCUUAGCUUGCUAAGGCCGAUGGCGACCGGCGCACGGGUGAGUAACGCGUAUCCAACCUGCCUUACACUCUUGGACAGCCUUCUGAAAGGGAGAUUAAUACAAGAUGUUAUCAUGGGUAAGCAUCCGAAUGGGAUUAAAGAUUUAUCGGUGAUGGAUGGGGAUGCGU
rnacentral:rRNA from 1 species